UACGUAGGGGGCGAGCGUUGUCCGAAGUUACUGGGCGUAAAGCGCGCGUAGGCGGUCCUCUAAGUCCGAGGUGAAAGGUUCGGCGCUCAACGUGAACAGUGCCUUGGAGACUGGGGGACUUGAGUGUGGGAGGGGGCGGUGGAAUUCCCGGUGUAGCGGUGAAAUGCGUAGAUAUCGGGAGGGACACCGAUGGCGAAGGCAGCCGCCUGGCCUGACACUGACGCUGAGGUGCGAAAGCGUGGGGAGCGAACGGG
rnacentral:rRNA from 1 species